AGCAGAGUGGCCCACUGGAAGUGUGCUGGGCCCAUAACCCAGAGGUCGAUGGAUCGAAACCAUCCUCUGCUA
rnacentral:tRNA from 1 species